rnacentral:rRNA from 1 species
GGCGAACGGGUGAGUAACACGUGAGUAACCUGCCCUUGACUUUGGGAUAACUUCAGGAAACUGGGGCUAAUACCGGAUAGGAGCUCCUGCUGCAUGGUGGGGGUUGGAAAGUUUCGGCGGUUGGGGAUGGACUCGCGGCUUAUCAGCUUGUUGGUGGGGCAGUGGCUUACCAAGGCUUUGACGGGUAGCCGGCCUGAGAGGGUGACCGGCCACAUUGGGACUGAGAUACGGCCCAG